rnacentral:rRNA from 1 species
CGGAGGAAAAGAAACUAACAAGGAUUCCCCUAGUAACGGCGAGUGAAGCGGGAAGAGCUCAAAUUUGAAAUCUGGCAGUCUUCGAUUGUCCGAGUUGUAAUCUAUAGAGGCGUUUUCCGUGCCGGACCGUGUCCAAGUCUCCUGGAAAGGAGUAUCAAAGAGGGUGAUAAUCCCGUACUUAACACGACCACCGGUGCUCUGUGAUACGUCUUCUACGAGUCGAGUUGUUUGGGAAUGCAGCUCAAAAUGGGUGGUGAAUUCCAUCUAAAGCUAAAUAUUGGCGAGAGACCGAUAGCGAACAAGUACCGUGAGGGAAAGAUGAAAAGCACUUUGGAAAGAGAGUUAAACAGUACGUGAAAUUGUUGAAAGGGAAACGAUUGAAGUCAGUCGUGUUCUUUGGAUUCAGCCAGUUCUGCUGGUCUACUUCCUUGGAACGGGUCAACAUCAGUUUUGUCCGGUGGAUAAAGGUAGUAGGAAUGUGACUUCUCCGGAAGUGUUAUAGCCUAUUAUCACAUACACUGG